rnacentral:rRNA from 1 species
ACCCGCUGAACUUAAGCAUAUCAAUAAGCGGAGGAAAAGAAACCAACAGGGAUUGCCCUAGUAACGGCGAGUGAAGCGGCAACAGCUCAAAUUUGAAAUCUGGCGUCUUUGGCGUCCGAGUUGUAAUUUGCAGAGGGCGCUUUGGCAUUGGCAGCGGUCCAAGUUCCUUGGAACAGGACGUCACAGAGGGUGAGAAUCCCGUACGUGGUCGCUAGCCUUUACCGUGUAAAGCCCCUUCGACGAGUCGAGUUGUUUGGGAAUGCAGCUCUAAAUGGGAGGUAAAUUUCUUCUAAAGCUAAAUACAGGCCAGAGACCGAUAGCGCACAAGUAGAGUGAUCGAAAGAUGAAAAGCACUUUGGAAAGAGAGUUAAAAAGCACGUGAAAUUGUUGAAAGGGAAGCGCUUGCAGCCAGACUUGCCUGUAGUUGCUCAUCCGGGUUUUUACCCGGUGCACUCUUCUAUAGGCAGGCCAGCAUCAGUUUGGGCGGUUGGAUAAAGGUCUCUGUCAUGUACCUCUCUUCGGGGAGAACUUAUAGGGGAGACGACAUGCAACCAGCCCGGACUGAGGUCCGCGCAUCUGCUAGGAUGCUGGCGUAAUGGCUGU